UACGGAAGGCAGCAGUGGGGAAUAUUGCACAAUGGGCGCAAGCCUGAUGCAGCCAUGCCGCGUGUAUGAAGAAGGCCUUCGGGUUGUAAAGUACUUUCAGUCGUGAGGAAGGUGUUAAGGUUAAUAACCUUAGCAAUUGACGUUAGCGACAGAAGAAGCACCGGCUAACUCCGUGCCAGCAGUCGCGGUAAUACGGAGGGUGCGAGCGUUAAUCGGAAUUACUGGGCGUAAAGGGCACGCAGGCGGUUAAUUAAGUUGGAUGUGAAAUCCCCGGGCUUAACCUGGGAAUGGCAUUCAAGCUGGUUAGCUAGAGUCUUGUAGAGGGGGUAGAAUUCCAUGUGUAGCGGUGAAAUGCGUAGAGAUGUGGAGGAAUACCGGUGGCGAAGGCGGCCCCUGGACAAAGGACUGACGCUCAUGUGCGAAAGCGUGGGGAGCGAAACG
rnacentral:rRNA from 1 species